GGGUCAGAUUUUAGUGACUACUGGACCUCAAACACAUCAGAUAAGGACAUACCAUAAAUGGUCUGCAAUGUACAUGUCAUGUGUCUCCAACUGACAGUCUAAGAAGUUCUAUGUAAUGUAGUGGUAGUUUGCCCAAUUGGAUGGAAGUGGUUUGGAUAUAAAGAAUGGCCACCCUCUGACAAAAAAUGUAUGACUUCUUGCCUAUAAGACAAGUGUACAUUUUGUCAGGACCAUUGGAUUCAAGUGGAAUACAGAAACACAGAAGUUCAGA